rnacentral:rRNA from 1 species
GUCCAGACUCCUACGGGAGGCAGCAGUGGGGAAUAUUGCACAAUGGGGGAAACCCUGAUGCAGCGACGCCGCGUGAGCGAAGAAGUACCUCGGUAUGUAAAGCUCUAUCAGCAGGGAAGAAAGUGACAGUACCUGACUAAGAAGCCCCGGCUAACUACGUGCCAGCAGCCGCGGUAAUACGUAGGGGGCAAGCGUUAUCCGGAUUCACUGGGCGUAAAGGGAGCGCAGGCGGCACGGCAAGUCUGAUGUGAAAGCCCGGGGCUCAACCCCGGGACUGCAUUGGAAACUGCCGGGCUGGAGUGUCGGAGGGGUAAGCGGAAUUCCUAGUGUAGCGGUGAAAUGCGUAGAUAUUAGGAGGAACACCAGUGGCGAAGGCGGCCUGCUGGACUGCAACUGACGUUGAGGCUCGAAGGCGUGGGGAGCAAACAGGAUUAGAUACCCUAGUAC